UACGUAGGGUGCGAGCGUUGUCCGGAAUUAUUGGGCGUAAAGAGCUUGUAGGCGGUUUGUCGCGUCUGCUGUGAAAAUCCGGGGCUCAACCCCGGACUUGCAGUGGGUACGGGCAGACUAGAGUGUGGUAGGGGAGACUGGAAUUCCUGGUGUAGCGGUGGAAUGCGCAGAUAUCAGGAGGAACGACCGGUGGCGAAGGCGGGUCUCUGGGCC
rnacentral:rRNA from 1 species